rnacentral:rRNA from 1 species
UACGUAGGGCGCAAGCGUUAUCCGGAAUUAUUGGGCGUAAAGAGCUCGUAGGCGGUUUGUCGCGUCUGCCGUGAAAGUCCGGGGCUCAACUCCGGAUCUGCGGUGGGUACGGGCAGACUAGAGUGAUGUAGGGGAGACUGGAAUUCCUGGUGUAGCGGUGAAAUGCGCAGAUAUCAGGAGGAACACCAUGCGAAGGCAGCUCGCUGGGACGUGACUGACGCUGAGAGCGACGAAGCGUGGGGGAGCAAACAGG